CUGAAUUGUGGGUAAUGGCUUC
rnacentral:piRNA from 1 species